rnacentral:rRNA from 1 species
UACGUAGGUGACAAGCGUUGUCCGGAUUUACUGGGCGUAAAGGGCGCGUAGGCGGCCACGACAAGUCAGUUGUGAAAUCUCUGGGCUUAACUCAGAACGGUCAACUGAUACUGUCGGGCUAGAGUGCAGAAGGGGCAACUGGAAUUCUCGGUGUAGCGGUGAAAUGCGUAGAUAUCGAGAGGAACACCUGCGGCGAAGGCGGGUUGCUGGGCUGACACUGACGCUGAGGCGCGAAAGCUAGGGGAGCAAACGGG